CAGUUGCGCACCAGUGACAAAUAAGGCUGCUCGCCAGAAACCCAAGUGCUGUAGCUAAGCUACUCUGUUGCACUGGCUGUGAAAAGUACCAAUCCUCAGCAGACCAGGGCUUCAAAGCAGGUGUUCGUGAAAUCGGCAGCAUCCUCUUCACAUUCCUCAUCAGCAUCUUCUGGUACCAGACAACAUCUGGUUGGCCUGGGCUGUGAGUGGGCUGUGUGUGAUGCUAGCCAUGUUCCUGGGAGCUCCUACCUAUCUCAUGAACGUAGAUGGUCAUAUGGAUAACUAUACGCAAGACGGAGGCUGCCCUCCAGACUUCAUCCAGUGGCCCAAGGAGAACUGCCCGACCAUUAACGGUGUCUUCAGGUGCUGCUGGUUCAGAGGAGGGUGGUGGUGCCAGCGCUGAGUGCAGCAGGGGCGCCAGUGGAGCAGCCUCCCAGGAAGAAGGUCUCUACCUGGGGAUCGAAAGGAACACAGUGGGCAUCCUGGCUGCCAUGGGGGUGUUCCAGGUGGAAUGGAUCCUUCAGUCCCUACGACUUCCCCUUUUGGACCGAGGUGGAGUUCUUCAUCACAACGUCCUAUAUCACAAUCAGCCCUUAUGUGUAUGGGAUAGGGAGUAACCUGUUUUCUGUGAAACACUUUAAGAAGUAAUGGAAGAAAGACUUUUUAGGCCUUAGGUGUCAGGUGUAAGCAAUUUUCUGUGCAGUAUGAUUAUGGGAUAAGGGAAUAACCUCUUCUCUGAAACAUGUAACAAAGUAAUUGUGGUAUAUUUAUAAACCCUCUGUGUUAGAUGUAGGUGAUUCUCUAUUUUCUCUGAAGUAAUUUUAAGAAGUCAAAGCACGGUUUUUAGACGUAAACUACCGGUCAAACGUUUUAGAAAUCCUACUCAUUCCAGGGUUUUUCUUUAUCUUUUACUAUUUUCUACAU